UUCAUGUAUUUUUCCCCGAAGGCAUUUUUAAACCAAUGAUACUUGAAGUAUGGGAGGGGGGAGGAUGGUUAAACUAUAUCUUCAAGCCAGCUGCCAUGCAUGAAUAUCUAAAGGUGAUAUUCUUUUUUUAUUCUUGCUAUUUUUUAAUUUGAUAUAUUACAAGAUUGUAAGAUUACAGGGGCCCACACCACACCUACACCAAAGUUCUGUGCCCCCACUUCCAAUGAUAAUCAGCAUUGUUCUCACAAAAUCUUAAGACAGCUUUCUUCUCCUCCUCCUCCUCCUCCUGCUUUUUUGCAAGUUAAUGUGUAUCCAUUCUCUAAAGUCUUCAUUUGAGUGAAACCAUCUGGUAGUUGUCUUUCAACUCUUUAUUUAUUUUAGUAAGUAUAAUCAUAGAAAAGAUAUUCUUCUCUAUAACAGGCUUUUCAAAUGUCAGCUUCAGGGUUGCAGAAGAGUUGAGUAGACUAGAGAGUCGCUAUGUAUUUUUCACAUGUGACUCACCAGCACCUUCCAUUAGUAAGGCACAUCUGUUAACACUGAGCAGCACUCAUUUAUUAUUAUUAAGAACUAAAAUUUCAAAAAAAAAAAAAAAAAAGAACUAAAAUUUCAGGGUUUAUUCAGAUUUCCUUAGUUUUUAUCUACUACUCUUCAGCUAUUUCAAGAUACCACAUUACAUUAAUUAUCAUGUCUCUCUUUGCUAUUUUUCAAAUUUUUGUUGUUCUUGAUGACAUUGACAGUUUAUUCAGGUUGUUUUUGUUUGUUUGUUUGUUUGCCUCCAGGAUUAUUGCUGGGGCUCGGUGCCUACACUAUGAAUCCACUGCUCCUAUUUUGUUGCCCUUGUUGUUACCAUUGUAGUUGUUAUGAUUGUUGUCACUGCUGUUGUUGUCAGAUAGGACAAAAAGAAAUCAAGAGAGGAGGGGAGACAGAAAGGGAGAGAGAAAGACAGACACCUACAGACCUGCUUUGCCACUAGUGAAGCGACCCCUGCAGGUGGGGAGCCUGGGCCUCGAACCUGGAUCCUUACUCCAGUCCUUGCGCUUCAUGCCAUGUGUGCUUAACCCGCUGCGCCACUGCCCAGCACCUGACAUUGACAGUUUUUAUGUGUAUGAACAUCAGAUAUUUAGGGACAGCCUGUCUAUUGAAAUUAUUCGUUUAUUCUUGCAAAAUUAGAUUGGGGGUAUGGGUUCGGGGGGAAGAAGAGCACAGAAGUAGAAUGUCAUUGUCAUUGCAUUUUAUCUAAGAUUAUAGCUGUUGCUGUUGACCCCUCCCCCCCCAAACUGUCAGAUUUGUUUGUUUGUUUUAUUUUGUCUUUGCCACCAGGCUUAUCACUGCGGCUCUGUGACUACACCACAACCCCACUCUUCCUGUGGCCAUUUCUUUUUCUUUUCCUUACAUUUCUGAGUGAGAAAGAGGAAAAUAUGGAGUAAGACAAAGGAACAGUAGAAGAGAGAAAGAAAGACACCUGUAGCACUGCUCCACUGUUCGUGAAGCUUCCCCUCAGCAAGUGGAGACCAGGGACUUGAACCCCAGUCCUUACACAUGGUAACAUGUGAACUCUACCAGAAGAAUACCACCACCUGGCCCUCCCACACUGUAGUCUUUUAAAAGAAGUCUUUAUGUGCAGCCCACACAUUUUCACUUUCCAAAAUGGGUCAAGAUGCUGGUUACUAAUGAAGCAGAUAAAGAUAUAGAACCAGGGGGUUCACAGUCAGAUCUGGAGAUUUUCCCAGAAUUCAUUCAGUGGCAAGUAUUCAGGUACACAGGACUUUUCUGUAACUGGCAGGUCGGGAUAAUUGUUACAGUAUAGCUGUCAAGUGCUAUAUUGUCCCACCCCCUGCUGAAAGUAAGUGUUUCCUACAAUCUCUGUCUAGCUCAGUUCUAUAGUGAGACAGGGACGCUUGGUCUCAAACAUUAUUUCCCGCAGCAGGAUUAUGAAAAGUGUUCUCUCUGCCUCCUUGGUGCAUUGAUGUCACUAGCCAUCUCUUUCAAGGUUGUGUUGCUUUCUGCCGACGUGCUAAUUGAUAAGUUGAAUGUCAUCUAAAAGUUCAUGAGAGCCAUUUCAAAUUUACUGAAGAAGGAAGAAGCAACCCUGGAUAGAGUUGAUAUCUUAUUUCAUUUGCAGCCGGGGCACUCCUAUGAGGUGUCUUAACUAAAACCUGGAGCACACAUGGCAAGACACAUGUGCUGCCCAGUGAGCUGUCUCUGGCCCUGCAGAUCAGUCAUAUAUGUAAACUUUGGCAGAGGGUCAUGUUCUCCUGAUUGAUACACGAUAUUGUUCAGAUCUUUUUUUUUAACCUUAUUUAAACUCUGUGCUAAAAUCGCAGAAACUAGUACUAUGUCUUAGUAUUUUUAAUAAAGCAAGCAGAGAACCCAAGAGGACGGGAGGACAGUCCAGGUAGUUGAAAACCUGAGAUGAAUCUCUUCCAGGGUGUUUGCUUCUAAGACUCGGUACAAUCCUGUCUGUAGCUAGGCAGAGUUAAUAAAAUGAAUGUCUGGUUUCCUCUCCCAGCUAGUAAGAAUGGAAUUAGACAUCAAAUAGCCUUUUUCUAGUGAUAUGAGUUAACAUUUUCAUCUCUGAAAUACUACAGGGAAGGAAAUUCUAUGCCCUUUGUGAGCUUACUGACCAUCAUAUGGGAUGAUGUUCUUUUUCCAAAACACAAGGCACUGGCUUUUGAAAACACACUGGUGGGGAAUUUCCGUCUCUGGUGUGGUGGUGGAAGAAGGAAAGAGACACUCUCCUGCAGGAAUUGAGGGGACUCCCACGCGCUGCCCAGGGCUUGGACAGGGUGGGUCCUCCCUGAUGCAUGAUCCAAGUUGUCAUCAGAAUAUUCUAAAAGGAGGAACUUGGGCACCGCGCACAGGUUUGUGCUGCACUCUAUAUAGAAGAUGGUCAGUUCCUUUUAAAAUAUCCUCAGCGGCUAUUUAGAGAGUGGGCACACCCAUUUCUUUAACUGUAUCUGUGUCAUAAAGCAAAUACGCCAAGGACAUUGAGAACUGCAAAACUGCUUUGCAUAAACACUCUGUCCAAACCCAUGCACUGAGAGACUGGGCCCAUUCCAACCCGGCUCCCAGCAGCCUAAGGCCACACCCUACGAUGACCUAGUUAAUCCUUUGAGAGCCUAUCUGGAAAUAUUCAGCACUGGCUAAAGGCCUCCCUCUGAGAACUCUGGCUAGAAGGGGCUGGUACUUGUGGACCCUUCCCCCGCUGAGUGUAUGAAUCUGCGACAUCAUAGGAGAGUCUUUUUCAGGAUCUGACAGCCAUUCUUUAGAAAUGUAACUGUCUCCAGCCUCCGGGGAGAACACAGUCCUGACUGGUUGGCUGCUAGUGACACAGCUGGCCUCACCACACUUUCUCCUAAUGUUAAUAAUUACUGGACAAGACUCGGGCUGGGCAGUGGUGCGUUCGGUUGAGCAGCAUGUGACCAUGGCAAGAAUCUGGGUUCAAGCCCCUGCUCUCUACAUACAGGGGGGAAGCUUCAUGAGUGGUAAAGCAGGUCUGCAGGUAUCUUUCUCUCGUCCCAUACCCCUUUCUUUUAAAAAAAAAAAAAAAGAUUUUAUUUAUUAAUGAGAAAUAUAGGAGGAGAAAGAAGGAAUCACACAUCACUCUGGUACAUGUGCUGCCGGGGAUUGAACUCAGGACCUCAUGCUUGAGAGUCCAAUUCCUUAUCCACUGCACUACCUCCUGGGCCACUGUCUAUAACCUUCUCUAUAUCCCAUCCCCCUCUCAAUUUCUCUCUGUCCUAAUGAAAAAUAAAGGGGGAGGUGUGGGGAGCCACAUGUGCCCUCAAGGUUGCUAUUGGCAUGGCCACAUAGCCGUUGUUCACAGAAGGCCUUGUUUACAAGAUAAGUUUCUGUCUCCUAACUAGAGUCUUGACAAAGAAAAGUUUCUGUUUGUCACCACUGUACCGUUUCUCGUAAGUCAGGUAACUUGCCCACCUCCCUAUGAAUCACCCAGGACCUUCCAGAUAACGGCUGAUCACCAUGACAACAUGCCACGUCAACCAACUGCCCCCAGCUGCUAACCUCCCCCUUACCCUGGCCUUAAAAACAGCAGCUUUGGUGCUAAUAAACAGACUUGAUCAG